AAAAAAUCUAACUUCCGGGUUUACCUCAUCACUGCUGGAGAAUCCAUUUAACUUCUUUUCAAGGUUCAGCUCGCUGGGGAGGAACGACGGCGUGGAAGAGGGACCGGACAAAGACUCGUUAUCGAGGGACCCUGGUCGGGAAGGAAGAAAAACUGCGAUGGUUUCUGCCGUUGUGAUCUGCCACCCAGCAAACUGAUUGGAGCCAAUCUGAUGCCCCGUUACUGCUAACGGAGACACGUACUUACUGUUACCUGCAACAGCUGUUGGUGAUUGAUGAGGGGGUUCCCUGGAAAUGGAGUCUGGACAAGCUGGAUCCAGAUCCCCUCUACUUAGAAGAGGAACCAGAGGAACUGUGGCCCAAUCAGGAUGCAAAAAGAGUGAAAAAAGUUGGAAUGACAACAGGGCACAUGGGUCAAGUGUAAACGAUGAUGUAGAGUGUAACACUGCCAACAACUCCCUCAGCUGCUCUGAAUGUGGUGAAAAGUUUGACAACCAACAAUCUCUCCAGAGACAUUUAACAGAGAAUCCUUUGAGUUGUUUGAAGCAUAAGAAAUGUUUUAAAGUAACACAAAAUAUAAAUUUGCGUAGAGGAGUUCACACAGGAACAAAAGCAGUUAAAUAUGAUGUUUGUGGUCACAUCUGUAGUCAUAAAAGAAAACUUGGGCUACACAUGAGAAUUCACACAGGAGACAAACCAUUCAGCUGUGAGGAAUGUGGACAAAGAUUUAGUUGCAAGACAAACUUAAACCAACACGUGAGAAUCCACACA